CAAGGAUGCAACUUCAAAAUUUGGAAGAGUAUCAUUUAACAGGUGCGGACUGACGAGGAAAUGGUCCAAGAAUGAAGAACCGUUUGGAAAUGAUGGAGAAGAAUCACAAAUUCGGUGUAUCACCCCAGACAGGACUUUUUGAGUUUAGAUCACCUCCAAGGAUAAAUCCAUCAAAAUUCCUACAAAGUUGAAUGAGUUUUAAUAAAUCAGACUCAAACUUAUGAGUCUGAUAGUUACACUGGACGUAAAUUGAACCAAUUAGAUAUUUUCUGCGGACACUGUUGUCUAAUAGCUCUAUUUGAGCAAGGCAAGUAUUUAUUCCGACAUCAUUUAAAACAAUUCGGUUGAAUUGUAUAGAAUUUCUGACAACAAUGCCAACCCCAAUAGGCGAAUUGUCAUAAAUAAAGUUGUAUCCAUUUAAUUUAA